GACGAACGCUGGCGGCGUGCCUAAUACAUGCAAGUCGAGCGGACCUCUUCGGAGGUCAGCGGCGGACGGGUGAGUAACACGUGGGCAACCUGCCUGUAAGACUGGGAUAACUCCGGGAAACCGGAGCUAAUACCGGAUACUAUGUCAAACCGCAUGGUUUGACAUUCAAAGACGGUUUCGGCUGUCACUUACAGAUGGGCCCGCGGCGCAUUAGCUAGUUGGUGAGGUAACGGCUCACCAAGGCGACGAUGCGUAGCCGGCCUGAGAGGGUGAUCGGCCAGACUGGGACUGAGACACGGCCCAGACUCCUACGGGAGGCAGCAGUAGGGAAUCUUCCGCAAUGGACGAAAGUCUGACGGAGCAACGCCGCGUGAGUGAUGAAGGUUUUCGGAUCGUAAAACUCUGUUGUCAGGGAAGAACAAGUGCCGGAGUAACUGCCGGCGCCUUGACGGUACCUGACCAGAAAGCCACGGCUAACUACGUGCCAGCCGCCGCCGUAA
rnacentral:rRNA from 1 species